rnacentral:rRNA from 1 species
GACGAACGCUGGCGGCGCGCCUAACACAUGCAAGUCGAGCGGAGGAUGACGAAGGAAAUUUUCGGAUGGAAUUUGUUAUCUUUAGCGGCGGACGGGUGAGUAACGCGUGAGCAACCAACCUUAUACAGGGGAAUAACGUAGCGAAAGCUACACUAAUACCGCAUGACACCAUUGAGUCGCAUGGCCUAAUGGUGAAAGGAGCAAUCCGGUAUAAGACGGGCUCGCGUCUGAUUAGAUAGUUGGUGGGGUAACGGCUCACCAAGUCAACGAUCAGUAGCCGACCUGAGAGGGUGAUCGGCCACAUUGGAACUGAGACACGGUCCAAACUCCUACGGGAGGCAGCAGUGGGGAAUCUUGGGCAAUGGAGGGAACUCUGACCCAGCGACGCCGCGUGAAGGAAGACGGUCUUCGGAUUGUAAACUUCUGUUCUUAGUGACAAGGGGAAGAUGGUAGCUAAGGAGGAAGCCCCGGCUAACUACGUGCCAGCAGCCGCGGUAAUACGUAGGGGGCGAGCGUUGUCCGGAAUGAUUGGGCGUAAAGGGCGUGUAGGCGGCUAUUUGUGUCCGAUGUGAAAGUCCAACUUUCAAGGUUGGAAUUGCAUUAGAAACUGGGUAGCUUGAGUGCAGGAGAGGUUAUCGGAAUUCCCGGUGUAGCGGUGAAAUGCGUAGAGAUCGGGAGGAACAUCAGUGGCGAAGGCGGGUAACUGGACUGUAACUGACGCUGAGACGCGAAAGUGUGGGGAGCAAACAGGAUUAGAUACCCUGGUAGUCCACACCCUAAACGAUGAAUGCUAGGUGUAGGAGGUAUCGACCCCUUCUGCGCCGUCGUAAACACAUUAAGCAUUCCGCCUGGGGAGUACGGUCGCAAGAUUAAAACUCAAAGGAAUUGACGGGGGCCCGCACAAGCAGCGGAGCAUGUGGUUUAAUUCGACGCAACGCGAAGAACCUUACCAGGUCUUGACAUCCAUUUAAAACUUAAGAGAUUAAGUGUGAGCAUGCUCAAAAUGAGACAGGUGGUGCAUGGUUGUCGUCAGCUCGUGUCGUGAGAUGUUGGGUUAAGUCCCGCAACGAGCGCAACCCCUACGGAUAGUUACUAACGGAUAAUGCUGAGGACUUUAUCAGGACUGCCGAGGACAACUCGGAGGAAGGUGGGGACGACGUCAAAUCAUCAUGCCCCUUAUGACCUGGGCUACACACGUGCUACAAUGGCCGUAACAAAGAGUUGCGAAGUCGCAAGGCGGAGCGAAUCUCAAAAAAACGGUCUCAGUUCGGAUUGUGGGCUGCAACCCGCCCACAUGAAGUCGGAGUUGCUAGUAAUCGCAAAUCAGCAUGUUGCGGUGAAUACGUUCCCGGGCCUUGUACACACCGCCCGUCACACCAUGGGAGUUGGUAGUGCCCGAAGGCAGAGAGGUAACCGUAAUGGAGCCAUCUGACGAAGGCAAGAUCGAUGACUGGGGUG